rnacentral:rRNA from 1 species
AUUGAACGCUGGCGGUAGGCCUAACACAUGCAAGUCGAAACGCGAAAAGUCCUUCGGGAUGAGUAGAGUGGCGGACGGGUGAGUAACGCGUAGGAAUCUAUCCUGUAGUGGGGGAUAACGUUUCGAAAGGAACGCUAAUACCGCAUACGCCCCAAGGGGGAAAGCGGGGGAAUCUUCGGACCUCGUGCUAUAGGAGGAGCCUGCGUCGGAUUAGCUAGUUGGUGAGGUAAAGGCUCACCAAGGCGACGAUCCGUAGCUGGUCUGAGAGGAUGAUCAGCCACACUGGGACUGAGACACGGCCCAGACUCCUACGGGAGGCAGCAGUGGGGAAUUUUGGACAAUGGGCGCAAGCCUGAUCCAGCCAUUCCGCGUGCAGGACGAAGGCCUUCGGGUUGUAAACUGCUUUUGUACGGAACGAAAGGGCUCUCUCUAAUACAGGGGGCAUAUGACGGUACCGUAAGAAUAAGCACCGGCUAACUACGUG